rnacentral:rRNA from 1 species
GACGAACGCUGGCGGCGUGCUUAACACAUGCAAGUCGAACGGAAAGGCCCUGCUUUUGUGGGGUGCUCGAGUGGCGAACGGGUGAGUAACACGUGAGUAACCUGCCCUUGACUUUGGGAUAACUUCAGGAAACUGGGGCUAAUACCGGAUAGGAGCUCCUGCUGCAGGGUGGUGGUUGGAAAGUUUCGGCGGUUGGGGAUGGACGCGCGGCUUAUCAGCUUGUUGGUGGGGUAGUUGCUUACCAAGGCUUUGACGGGUAGCCGGCCUGGGAGGGUGAACGGCCACAUUGGGACUGAGAUACGGCCCAGACUGCUACGGGAGGCAGCAGUGGGGAAUAUUGCACAAUGGGCGGAAGCCUGAUGCAGCAACGCCGCGUGCGGGAUGACGGCCUUCGGGUUGUAAACCGCUUUCGCCUGUGACGAAGCGUGAGUGACGGUAAUGGGUAAAGAAGCACCGGCUAACUACGUG